rnacentral:lncRNA from 1 species
UGAACUUCAGUUGACAUCCUUCGAACAGAUACUCACAAGUUCCUUCGUUGAUCAUCUGUUUGCUGACCCUCUUACUCUUUAUUUUCAUAUUUUCUGCUACUAAUCCCGACACCUGCUGUUAAAUUAACACACUGUUAUUCAUACCAUCGGGUUCAAUCCAAUAAAAUUAUUAAUUGAAUAUGCGAAAUCUUCGAAGUAGAAAAUCUGGGAGUAGUGCAGCAACAAAUAUGUUUACAGUUGAGUUUGCUCAAUUCUGUUACGCCAAAUAACUGUAAGUUCAUAUCUCUUAUAUACUAAAUCACAAGUCACUACACCAAUAAUAUUUUGCCACAUAGAUCAAGAAAUAAAAGAGUUUAAAUACAAAAACAAAAAUGAAAAAAUGCAAAACAAAAAUAUUUACGCAAGAGACAAAAAUCAAAAAUAUUAUCAUUCCAUUUUGCGGAGCAGUUCCUCUUUCUAAACUCCAUGAUCACCACUCACUCU